AGUCUACGUGUUUGACGAAAUGUCUAGUUGAUUUCAGACCUCAGUUCAUCACGUGUGCUUCUGGGUCGAAACAUUUUGCUUCCUUGACUUUCAUAAUUCCAAGGUUUUUCUUUCUAAAACUAAAUUUUGUUUCAUUGAAGUUUCUUCUUUUAUAAUUCUUGUAACGAGAGAGAAAAUGAGUUUGAGAUGUUUAGGAUUUAGGAGCGUUUUGUUUCGUAGCGUUUUACUAUGCUUUUGUGAUUUUCUUGGAAUAUUGAGACAAACCAAACAAUGAGAAAUAUAGAGAUUGAAAUAAUAACGAAUUUGAGAGGUGGGAAACUAGAAUUUAUAUAUGAGGUAAAAGGAAUUUGAUGUCCAUUGGUAAUCACUCUGGAACUUCACCAACAAAAUAGCUUUUGGGGAUGAAGUUCAUUUGAUAAGUUUAGAUGAAAUUGCAUGACCAUUUUGAAACUUCUGUGGUGAUCACUAGUCUAUAGAAACAUUAAUGUCCUGUAUGUUGCUUUGUUUGGUUUACUUGGUGACUUUAAUUUGUUUUGUUAAUUUGGAUGGAGUUAAUUGUUGUAAUGUUUAUAAGAUUUGACCUUAAACAUAGUUUUGUAGCUAUAUUUAUUAGUUCUUACUAUAGCAAAUAACUUUCUUAUCUUAAAGUUUUUAUGAGAAAUUUUCAUGAGCUUUUAUUUUGACGAUUGUUUAUUUUUAAGUACUUUUCAUAACUUAGUAUAACCUUUUUGUUGUAGUUAAGGUGUUUGAAAAAAUAUCUGAGAGAUCUUCACUAGAUUUUCAUAGUUACUAAUGUGGCAGCUAUUGGGUCUCAUUAAAGUUUAACUUUAUUUUGAGAUGUAUUUACGAAACAGUGAACUAUAAAUAUGUUUUCUUGUCAUGUUUCAUAAGUAGAAAUCAUGUUUCUAACCCAAACUUUAUUCAAAUAAAAUAAAUUCAGAAAGAAACCUUUUUGCUUCCUAUAUUUAUCAUAUAUACUUCUCCCCUCCCCCCUUCACUUCCCACAUAAAAUCCAUCUUUUUCUCUAUACCAACAAAUAAACAAAGAAACAAAGAAAGAAAACCCCCUCCAAAAUGGCUGCUGCACAUCAGUUCCCUAAGACCUCCAUGUACCUUGAUCAAAACCCCGAAGCCGCCCUCAAGAACUUCGACGACGAUGGUCGAGAGAAACGAACGGGGACAUCAGUGAUAUGUUAGUUUGGAGCUUAGUGCGCAUAUAAUAACAGCAGUGAUAGGGUCGGGGGUUCUAUCGUUGGCGUGGGCGAUAGCGCAGCUCGGUUGGGUGGCUGGACCAGCUGUGUUGGUGGCCUUCUCUAUGAUUACAUAUUUAACAGCAACUUUUUUGGCUGACUCUUAUAGAUCUCCAGAUCCUGUUACUGGGAAAAGAAACUACACUUAUAUGGAUGUUGUCAAGGCUCACUUGGGUUGAAGUUACGAUUGUUGAUGUUUCUACCAGUCAUCAGAUUGGGAUCGACAGUUGGGGGGAAGGCAAUGGAAUCUCUGGUCAAAGAGGGAUUUAUACAGGGUUCUCCUUUUUGCAAACUUGUUCGUGAAGUGCUUGUAGAGUUGGAGUUACCACAUUUAGUACGUUGGGAGUUAUCACUAAACAAAUGACUGCAAUAGAAGAAAUGGUUGCAAGUGAGUACAAUUAGCCAGACCCUCAUCUUUGUGACAAGAUCUUGAAGUUGGUCAUUUGUGAAGCGUUCUACUUUGCUAUUAGUUGCAGUUUUAGUUAUUGCUCUCUCAAUAUAUUCUUUUUCUUUCUUUCUUUCUUUUUUUCCAAAGGAUGAUCAGUGUAAUAAUUAAGCUUCAUAAUUUCUGUGUUUGGAUCCAAGUUGUAUAUAAAUGUCACAUUAUUAAGAUUUCAUUUUGUAUAUGUACAAGUAAAAGAUUUCAUUUUUAA